UGCAAGUCGAGCGGUAGCACAGAGAGCUUGCUCUCGGGUGACGAGCGGCGGACGGGUGAGUAAUGUCUGGGAAACUGCCUGAUGGAGGGGGAUAACUACUGGAAACGGUAGCUAAUACCGCAUAACGUCGCAAGACCAAAGUGGGGGACCUUCGGGCCUCAUGCCAUCAGAUGUGCCCAGAUGGGAUUAGCUAGUAGGUGGGGUAACGGCUCACCUAGGCGACGAUCCCUAGCUGGUCUGAGAGGAUGACCAGCCACACUGGAACUGAGACACGGUCCAGACUCCUACGGGAGGCAGCAGUGGGGAAUAUUGCACAAUGGGCGCAAGCCUGAUGCAGCCAUGCCGCGUGUGUGAAGAAGGCCUUCGGGUUGUAAAGCACUUUCAGCGGGGAGGAAGGCGGUGAGGUUAAUAACCUCGUCGAUUGACGUUACCCGCAGAAGAAGCACCGGCUAACUCCGUGCCAGCAGCCGCGGUAAUACGGAGGGUGCAAGCGUUAAUCGGAAUUACUGGGCGUAAAGCGCACGCAGGCGGUCUGUCAAGUCGGAUGUGAAAUCCCCGGGCUCAACCUGGGAACUGCAUUCGAAACUGGCAGGCUAGAGUCUUGUAGAGGGGGGUAGAAUUCCAGGUGUAGCGGUGAAAUGCGUAGAGAUCUGGAGGAAUACCGGUGGCGAAGGCGGCCCCCUGGACAAAGACUGACGCUCAGGUGCGAAAGCGUGGGGAGCAAACAGGAUUAGAUACCCUGGUAGUCCACGCCGUAAACGAUGUCGAUUUGGAGGUUGUGCCCUUGAGGCGUGGCUUCCGGAGCUAACGCGUUAAAUCGACCGCCUGGGGAGUACGGCCGCAAGGUUAAAACUCAAAUGAAUUGACGGGGGCCCGCACAAGCGGUGGAGCAUGUGGUUUAAUUCGAUGCAACGCGAAGAACCUUACCUGGUCUUGACAUCCACAGAACUUUCCAGAGAUGAUUGGUGCCUUCGGGAACUGUGAGACAGGGGCUGCAUGG
rnacentral:rRNA from 1 species